CAUCAGUAAACGGGAAUGCAAUGAUCUAUCAUCAAAGUCCAAACGUUUCCACACAGUAGAUGCUGAAGCUUUCUAUUCAGAUAAGGAGAAUUUGACACCUAUAUCUACAGGAGGUAUGAAAGCGAGAAGUUGUCUUCCAAAGAACCUGUUCCCAGUGGAUGCAGACCAAGAUCAGAAGGCAUUCUGCUCCGACAAGGAGAACUCUACACCUAUAUCUACAGGAGGUAUGAAAGCGAGAAGUUGUCUUCCGAAGAACCUGUUCCCAGUGGAUGCAGACCAAGAUCAGGAGGCAUUCUGCUCCGACAAGGAGAAUUCUACACCUAUAUCUACAGGAGGUAUGAAAGCGAGAAGUUGUCUUCCGAAGAACCUGUUCCCAGUGGAUGCAGACCAAGAUCAGGAGGCAUUCUGCUCCGACAAGGAGAAUUCUACACCAGUAUCUUGUGUAGCU
rnacentral:lncRNA from 1 species